GGUGGUGCAUGGUUGCCGUCAAUUCCUGUCGUGAGAUGUUGGGUUAAGUCCCGCAACGAGCGCAACCCCUGCCUUUAGUUGCCAGCAUUAAGUUGGGCACUCUAGAGGGACUGCCGUAGACAAUACGGAGGAAGGCGGGGAUGACGUCAAAUCAUCAUGCCCCUUAUGACCUGGGCUACACACGUGCUACAAUGGUCUGAACAGAGGGCCGCGAAGCCGCGAGGUGAAGCAAAUCCCUUAAAACAGAUCCCAGUUCGGAUUGCAGGCUGCAACUCGCCUGCAUGAAGUUGGAGUUGCUAGUAAUCGCGGAUCAGAAUGCCGCGGUGAAUGCGUUCCCGGGUCUUGUACACACCGCCCGUCACACCACGAGAGUUGGCAACACCCGAAGCCUGUGAGAGAACCGCAAGGACUC
rnacentral:rRNA from 1 species